GACGAACGCUGGCGGCGUGCUUAACACAUGCAAGUCGAGCGGAAAGGCCCUGCUUUUGUGGGGCGCUCGAGUGGCGAACGGGUGAGUAACACGUGAGUAACCUGCCCUUGACUUUGGGAUAACUUCAGGAAACUGGGGCUCAUACCGGAUAGGAGCUCCUGCUGCAUGGUGGGGGUCGGAAAGUUUCGGCGGUUGGGGAUGGACUCGCGGCUUAUCAGCUUGUUGGUGGGGUAGUGGCUUACCAAGGCUUUGACGGGUAGCCGGCCUGAGAGGGUGACCGGCCACAUUGGGACUGAGAUACGGCCCAGACUCCUACGGGAGGCAGCAGUGGGGAAUAUUGCACAAUGGGCGGAAGCCUGAUGCAGCAACGCCGCGUGCGGGAUGACGGCCUUCGGGUUGUAAACCGCUUUCGCCUGUGACGAAGCGUGAGUGACGGUAAUGGGUAAAGAAGCACCGGCUAACUACGUG
rnacentral:rRNA from 1 species